rnacentral:rRNA from 1 species
GAUGAACGCUGGCGGCGUGCCUAACACAUGCAAGUCGAACGGAGUUUUUAGAGGAAGCCUUUCAGGGUGGAACCUUUGAACUUAGUGGCGGACGGGUGAGUAACGCGUGAGCAAUCUGCCUUCAAGAGGGGGACAACAGCUGGAAACGGCUGCUAAUACCGCAUAACAUAUAUUUGUGGCAUCACAGAUAUAUCAAAGGAGAAAUCCGCUUGAAGAUGAGCUCGCGUCCCAUUAGCUAGUUGG